ACGCUGGCGGCAGGCCUAACCAUGCAAGUCGAGCGGAAACACAAGGAGCUUGCUCCUGAGGUGUCGAGCGGCGGCGGGUGAGUAAUGCCUAGGGAUCUGCCCAGUCUAGGGGGAUAACAGUUGGAAACGACUGCUAAUACCGCAUACGCCCUACGGGGGAAAGGAGGGGACCUUCGGGCCUUUCGCGAUUGGAUGAACCUAGGUGGGAUUAGCUAGUUGGUGAGGUAAUGGCUCACCAAGGCGACGAUCCCUAGCUGUUCUGAGAGGAUGAUCAGCCACACUGGGACUGAGACACGGCCCAGACUCCUACGGGAGGCAGCAGUGGGGAAUAUUGCACAAUGGGCGAAAGCCUGAUGCAGCCAUGCCGCGUGUGUGAAGAAGGCCUUCGGGUUGUAAAGCACUUUCAGUAGGGAGGAAAGGCAGUUGUUUAAUAAACAGCUGCUGUGACGUUACCUACAGAAGAAGGACCGGCUAACUUCGUGCCAGCAGCCGCGGUAAUACGAGGGGUCCAAGCGUUAAUCGGAAUUACUGGGCGUAAAGCGUACGCAGGCGGUUCAUUAAGCUAGAUGUGAAAUCCCCGGGCUCAACCUGGGAAUUGCAUUUAGAACUGGUGAACUAGAGUCUUGUAGAGGGGGGUAGAAUUUCAGGUGUAGCGGUGAAAUGCGUAGAGAUCUGAAGGAAUACCGGUGGCGAAGGCGGCCCCCUGGACAAAGACUGACGCUCAUGUACGAAAGCGUGGGGAGCAAACAGGAUUAGAUACCCUGUAGUCCCGCCGUAAACGAUGUCUACUCGGAGUUUGGGCCUUGAGCACUGGGCUCCCAAGCUAACGCAUUAAGUACCGCCUGGGGAGUACGGCCGCAAGGUAAAACUCAAAUGAAUGA
rnacentral:rRNA from 1 species